rnacentral:rRNA from 1 species
UACGUAGGGGGCAAGCGUUGUCCGGAAUUAUUGGGCGUAAAGAGCGUGUAGGCGGCUUGGUAAGUCUGCUGUGAAAGCCCAGGGCUCAACCCUGGAAUGCCGGUGGAUACUGUCAAGCUAGAGUUCGGAAGAGGCGAGUGGAAUUCCUGGUGUAGCGGUGAAAUGCGCAGAUAUCAGGAGGAACACCAAUAGCGAAGGCAGCUCGCUGGGACGAUACUGACGCUGAGACGCGAAAGCGUGGGGAGCAAACAGG